CUCCCGGAGUGUGUAAGGAGCCGGGGAGAGAGGGAGGGAGGCGGGGUCCCCUGGAGCCGAGCCCGGGCUGCGGCGGUGACGAGAAGGGCUCCCAGAGUCAGGGCUGCCCAGGCACGGGGGGUGGGAAGUGAGGCAAUUUUCUCCAGGCCCCGCAGGGUAUGUGGGAGGCUCCCCAUCCCCCGGUGUCUCAGCUGGUAAGGGGGCGGGGCUGCGAGCCGCAGCUGAGCGGCGCGAACUCAGGCCCAGCUGGAGACACGACGACGCUGCAGCACUGUCGGGGAGAGAGGGAUGAAUGGCUUUCACUUCCUCCUCAAGAGGUGAAUAACAUAUUGAAUGACGGAGGAAGGGGGAAAAUGGAAGAUAUUAAUCAUGCUGAUCAUUUCAUAUGAAGAUUUAAGAGUCUGAUACAAGGAUUGUUCAGCUGAUUUUCCAUGAGCACAAGAUUUCUUCAUGAACUGUGAGAAUUUUUACACAAUGAUUCUUUUAACAUAACAGAGUGUUGAUUUCCAAUAAGGAUCUGCCACAUCACUGAGCACUUGGCAGAAGCUUGAUUAAGAAGAAAUAAAGACAGGAUCGCCGUUCUGUAUUUUAAAACAGCUGCUACAUCUUUUGUGUCCUCCUAAAAUCAAAGCAAAAUACCAGAUAUAAUGUGCCUUUAAGGGUCAUAUCAUGCCAGGUUGUUGGCAGUAUUCAUCAGAUGGAACUGAAAUUAAUCUACCACGUUUCAUGUCCUGAACAAACUGAUCUUCAGAGGAAAUUUUGAACCAUAUUAUUUACAACACCCACAUCCAGGGCCGGCUCUAGCCAUUUCGCCGCCCCAAGCACAGUGGCACGCCCCGGGAGCGCUCUGCCGC